rnacentral:lncRNA from 1 species
UGAUCUUCAACAUCGAAAACUAAAAGCAAAAGACAGCAACAAAACCCCACGAGUCAAGUAGGUCAUUGGUGUCUGCUGCUCUUAAGCUCUUGUUCCAGCCUGUCCCAGUCUCCAGCAGGUACAACUCUCUAGAGAGAGCCACAUCUGGCCAGGACCAGACAGGACCACUCUGUGUGGUAGUCCUAAGUUAGAGGACAUUCGGGGAACUUGUUUCCACGGUUUUGUUCUUUUUAUGAAAGAGCUUUUGCUUUGCCCAGCCUUUGUUUGGGGAGUUCAGCUAAUAAAGGGGCCAUUUUGCUGGAAUGAAUUACUGAUGAAAGUCCUGCUGGGAUUGGCAGGAGGACGGCCCUCUGGCCUCUCUUCAGCAAGGCCGCCAAGACUGUAAAGUCUGCUGUGGGAUUCGCAGAGGUACAGUACCAUCAAAUGCUCCAGGAAGCUCCACUCACUUGCUUUAAGUUAAAACAGUAAAGAAGUCAAUAUUUUAGCAAAUCUAAGAUUAUGAGUUUGGCCCCUUGUGUCUUCAACGAUCCAAGGUUAAGCAAUAUUGCACCAGCUAAGCAAAAAUAAAUCAGGACACCUCAAGAAAGAAAAAGGAGGAGGAGGAGGAGGAGGAAGAGGAAGAAGAAGAGAAGGAAGAGGAAACACCCCCCCCCCAAAAAAAAACAACCCACAAAAAGAAAAGAUCUGGAAAUGAAUGACUGAAAAUGCUACAAACAUGGAACAUUCGGUUUCGUCUGCUACCAGCCUCUAUGCAUCGUGUCCUGUUUAAAGGGCUUAUCUACUCCUAAAAUGCA